rnacentral:rRNA from 1 species
AACGAACGCUGGCGGCAUGCCUAACACAUGCAAGUCGAACGAACCCUUCGGGGUGAGUGGCGCACGGGUGCGUAACGCGUGGGAACCUGCCCUUAGGUUUGGAAUAACAGUGAGAAAUCGCUGCUAAUACCAAAUAAUGUCUUCGGACCAAAGAUUUAUCGCCUUUGGAUGGGCCCGCGUUGGAUUAGCUAGUUGGUGGGGUAAAGGCUCACCAAGGCGACGAUCCAUAGCUGGUCUUAGAGGAUGAUCAGCCACACUGGGACUGAGACACGGCCCAGACUCCUACGGGAGGCAGCAGUGGGGAAUAUUGGACAAUGGGCGAAAGCCUGAUCCAGCAAUGCCGCGUGAGUGAUGAAGGCCUUAGGGUUGUAAAGCUCUUUUACCAGGGAUGAUAAUGACAGUACCUGGAGAAUAAGCUCCGGCUAACUCCGUGCCAGCCGCCGCCGUAACAC